UACGUAGGGGGCAAGCGUUGUCCGGAAUCAUUGGGCGUAAAGAGCGUGUAGGCGGCUCGAUAAGUCUGCUGUGAAAGUCCAGGGCUCAACCCUGGAAGGCCGGUGGAAACUGUCGGGCUAGAGUCCGGAAGAGGCGAGUGGAAUUCCCGGUGUAGCGGUGAAAUGCGCAGAUAUCGGGAGGAACACCAAUGGCGAAGGCAGCUCGCUGGAUCGGUACUGACGCUGAGGUGCGAAAGCGUGGGGAGCAAACAGG
rnacentral:rRNA from 1 species